rnacentral:rRNA from 1 species
ACAGAGGGUGCAAGCGUUAAUCGGAAUUACUUGGGCGUAAAGGGCGUGUAGGCGGUUGGAUAAGUUGGAUGUGAAAGACUGGGGCUUAACCUCGGGGUUGCAUACAAUACUGUCUGAGCUUGAGUGCGGUAGAGGGAGGUGGAAUUUCCGGUGUAGCGGUGAAAUGCGUAGAUAUCGGAAGGAACAUCAGUGGCGAAGGCGACCUCCUGGACUGACACUGACGCUGAGGCGCGAAAGCGUGGGGAGCAAACAGGA